UCUGGUGAUGAUGGCAUAGAGGAAACACUCCUUCCCAUACCGAACAGGAAAGUUAAGCUCUAUAGCGCCAAUGGUACUGCAUGGGAGACCGUGUGGGGGUAAUAUGAUCUACUAGCU
rnacentral:rRNA from 1 species